AAUACGUAGGGUGCGAGCGUUGUCCGGAAUUACUGGGCGUAAAGAGCUUGUAGGCGGUCUGUCGCGUCGAUUGUGAAAACUCACGGCUCAACCGUGGGCUUGCAGUCGAUACGGGCAGACUAGAGUACUUCAGGGGAGACUGGAAUUCCUGGUGUAGCGGUGAGAUGCGCAGAUAUCAGGAGGAACACCGGUGGCGAAGGCGGGUCUCUGGGAAGUAACUGACGCUGAGAAGCGAAAGCGUGGGUAGCGAACAGG
rnacentral:rRNA from 1 species